rnacentral:piRNA from 1 species
UGAGUUGUAUGAGUGGCGGCAUGUUGGUA